rnacentral:rRNA from 1 species
ACGGGGGAUUAGGGUUCGAUUCCGGAGAGGGAGCCUGAGAAACGGCUACCACAUCUAAGGAAGGCAGCAGGCGCGCAAAUUACCCAAUUCUAACAGUUUGAGAGAGGUAGUAACAAGAAAUAACAAUACAAGGCAGUUAAAAUGCUUUGUAAUUGGAAUGAUAGAAAUUUAAACCCUUUUUAAAGUAUCAAUUGGAGGGCAAGUCUGGUGCCAGCAGCCGCGGUAAUUCCAGCUCCAAUAGCGUAUAUUAAAAUUGUUGCAGUUAAAAAGCUCGUAGUUGAAGUUCUGCUAAAAGUAACCGGUCUGCUUUUAAUAAAAGUGGUAUCUUGGUAUGUAUUUAGCAAUGAUGUCCUUUGAAGUGUUUUUUACUUUAUUGUAAUAAAGCAUAUUCAGGACUUUUACUUUGAGAAAAUUAGAGUGUUUCUAGCAGGCCGACGCUUUGAAUACUGCAGCAUGGAAUAAUAAGAUAGGAUUUUAGUUCUACAUUGUUGGUUUUAAGAGCUAAAUUAAUGAUUGAUAGGGACAGUUGGGGGCAUUUGUAUUUAA